rnacentral:rRNA from 1 species
GAUGAACGCUAGCGGCAGGCCUAAUACAUGCAAGACGAACGGUAAGUUGAGUAGCAAUACUUAGCCAAGAGUGUCGUACGGGUGCGUAACACGUAUGCAACCUACCCUAUACAGGUGGAUAGCCUAGGGAAACCUGGAUUAACCCUUCAUAGUAUUAUUGGAUGGCAUCAUUUGAUAAUUAAAACUGAGGUGGUAUAGGAUGGGCAUGCGUCUGAUUAGUUAGUUGGCGGGGUAAUGGCCCACCAAGACGAUGAUCAGUAGGGGUUCUGAGAGGAAGAUCCCCCACACUGGCACUGAGAUACGGGCCAGACUCCUACGGGAGGCAGCAGUAGGGAAUAUUGGUCAAUGGAUGCAAGUCUGAACCAGCCAUGCCGCGUGCAGGAAGAAGGCCCUUCUGGGUUGUAAACUGCUUUUGCCAGGGGAUAAAAUUUCCAUGCGUGGAAAACUGAAGGUACCUGGUGAAUAAGCCACGGCUAACUACGUGCCAGCAGCCGCGGUAAU